rnacentral:rRNA from 1 species
CCUACGGGUGGCAGCAGUCGAGAAUCAUUCACAAUGGGGGAAACCCUGAUGGUGCGACGCCGCGUGGGGGAAUGAAGGUCUUCGGAUUGUAAACCCCUGUCAUGUGGGAGCAAAUUAAAAAGAUAGUACCACAAGAGGAAGAGACGGCUAACUCUGUGCCAGCAGCCGCGGUAAUACAGAGGUCUCAAGCGUUGUUCGGAAUCACUGGGCGUAAAGCGUGCGUAGGCUGUUUCGUAAGUCGUGUGUGAAAGGCGCGGGCUCAACCCGCGGACGGCACAUGAUACUGCGAGACUAGAGUAGUGGAGGGGGAACCGGAAUUCUCGGUGUAGCAGUGAAAUGCGUAGAUAUCGAGAGGAACACUCGUGGCGAAGGCGGGUUCCUGGACAUUAACUGACGCUGAGGCACGAAGGCCAGGGGAGCGAAAGGGAUCAGAUACCCGGGUAGUC